rnacentral:rRNA from 1 species
GGUUUGUUAAGUCAGAUGUGAAAGCCCGGGGCUCAACCUCGGAAUUGCAUUUGAAACUGGCAGACUAGAGUACUGUAGAGGGGGGUAGAAUUUCAGGUGUAGCGGUGAAAUGCGUAGAGAUCUGAAGGAAUACCGGUGGCGAAGGCGGCCCCCUGGACAGAUACUGACACUCAGAUGCGAAAGCGUGGGGAGCAAACAGGAUUAGAUACCCUGGUAGUCCACGCCGUAAACGAUGUCUACUUGGAGGUUGUGGCCUUGAGCCGUGGCUUUCGGAGCUAACGCGUUAAGUAGACCGCCUGGGGAGUACGGUCGCAAGAUUAAAACUCAAAUGAAUUGACGGGGGCCCGCACAAGCGGUGGAGCAUGUGGUUUAAUUCGAUGCAACGCGAAGAACCUUACCUACUCUUGACAUCCAGAGAACUUUCCAGAGAUGGAUUGGUGCCUUCGGGAACUCUGAGACAGGUGCUGCAUGGCUGUCGUCAGCUCGUGUUGUGAAAUGUUGGGUUAAGUCCCGCAACGAGCGCAACCCUUAUCCUUGUUUGCCAGCGAGUAAUGUCGGGAACUCCAGGGAGACUGCCGGUGAUAAACCGGAGGAAGGUGGGGACGACGUCAAGUCAUCAUGGCCCUUACGAGUAGGGCUACACACGUGCUACAAUGGCGCAUACAGAGGGCAGCCAACUUGCGAAAGUGAGCGAAUCCCAAAAAGUGCGUCGUAGUCCGGAUUGGAGUCUGCAACUCGACUCCAUGAAGUCGGAAUCGCUAGUAAUCGUGGAUCAGAAUGCCACGGUGAAUACGUUCCCGGGCCUUGUACACACCGCCCGUCACACCAUGGGAGUGGGCUGCAAAAGAAGUAGGUAGUUUAACCUUCGGGGGGACGCUUACCACUUUGUGGUUCAUGACUGGGGUGAAGUCGUAACAAGGUAGCGCUAGGGGAACCUGGCGCUGGAUCACCUCCUUA